AUGGUUGCAGUGGGGCCCUGGCCUGGGGUCCGUGAUAGGGCUGUGGAUCGUCUCCGCCCCAUGGUUCCGCGGUUGAAUCCAUGGUGGUGGCCAUGGGUCUGUGGCUGGAUCCAUGGCCAUGGGUUCUCGGUGGGGUCUUGGCCAUGGGUCGGUGGUUGUGGUGGGGCCAUUGCAGGAGGUUCUUCCCAUGGCCGUGGGUCCGUGGCUCUGGUGGGUUCUGUGGUUGGCCCAUUGUUGGCUAUGGGUCCAUGGGGGGGGUUCAAGGCAAUGAGGGGGCUGUGGCUGUGGCCAUGGGUCCUUGGUGAAUCUGUGUCUCUGGUCACGGGUCUGUGGUGGGUCUAUGGCUCUGGUUACAGGUCAAUGGUGAGUCUGUGGCCGUGGUCACGGGUCUGUGGUAGGUCCACGGGUGUCUUCAAGGUAACGAAGAGUUUGUGAGCAUCGUUAUGGGUCUGUGGUGGGUCCACAGGUGGGUUCAAGGCAACGAGGGGACUGUGGCUGUGGCCUUAGGUCUGUGGUAGGUCCAUGGAUGGCUUCAAGGUAACCAUGGAUCUGGCUGUGGUUGUGGGGCCGUGGCUGUGGGUCUGCGAUGGGUCCAGGUGUGGGUGCAGGACAAUGAAGGGUCUGUGAUUCUGUGUCCUUGGCCCUGACCGUUGGGUCCGUGGUAGGUCUGUGAUGGUGGCUGUGGGUCUGCAGUGGGUCCAUGGAUGGGUUCAAGGCAAUGAGAGGUCUGUGGUUGUGGCCAUGGCUAUGGGUCUGUGAUGGGUCCAUGGAUGGGCUCAAGGCAAUGAGGAGUCUGGGGCUGUGGCCAUGGGUCUUUGGUGGGUCCGUGGGUGGGUUCAUGGCAGCCACAGGUCUGUGGGUGUGUUCAUGGGUCCGUGGUGGAUCUUUGGUGGGUCCAUGGAUGGGUUCAUGGUAACCACAGGUCUAUGGUGGAUUUGUGGAUGGGUUCAUGGUAACCAUGGGUCUGCAGAUGUAUUUAUGGGUCUUUGGUGGGUCCAUGGGUGGCUUCAUGGCAACCACAGGUCUGUGGCUGUGUUCACGGGUCCGUUGGUGGAUCUUUGGUGGGUCCAUGGAUGAGUUCAUGGUAAUCAUGGGUCUGUGGAUGUGUUCAUGGGUCUGUGGUGGAUCUUUGGUGGGUCCAUGGAUGGGUUCAUGGUAACUACGGGUCUGCAGAUGUAUUUAUGGGUCUGUGGUGGGUCCAUGGGUGGCUUCAUGGUAACCACGGGUCUGUGGGUGUGUUCACGGGUCUGUUGGUGGAUCUUUGGUGGGUCCAUGGAUGGGUUCAUGGUAACCACGGGUCUAUGGUGGAUCUGUGGACGGGUUCAUGGUAACCAU
rnacentral:lncRNA from 1 species